rnacentral:rRNA from 1 species
AUUGAACGCUGGCGGCAGGCCUAACACAUGCAAGUCGAGCGGAUGAAGGGAGCUUGCUCCUGGAUUCAGCGGCGGACGGGUGGGUAAUGCCUAGGAAUCUGCCUGGUAGAGGGGGAUAACGUCCGGAAACGGGCGCUAAUACCGCAUACGUCCUGAGGGAGAAAGUGGGGGAUCUUCGGACCUCACGCUAUCAGAUGAGCCUAGGUCGGAUUAGCUAGUUGGUGGGGUAAAGGCCUACCAAGGCGACGAUCCGUAACUGGUCUGAGAGGAUGAUCAGUCACACUGGAACUGAGACACGGUCCAGACUCCUACGGGAGGCAGCAGUGGGGAAUAUUGGACAAUGGGCGAAAGCCUGAUCCAGCCAUGCCGCGUGUGUGAAGAAGGUCUUCGGAUUGUAAAGCACUUUAAGUUGGGAGGAAGGGCAGUAAGUUAAUACCUUGCUGUUUUGACGUUACCAACAGAAUAAGCACCGGCUAACUUCGUG